ACUCCUACGGGAGGCAGCAGUGGGGAAUAUUGCACAAUGGGCGCAAGCCUGAUGCAGCCAUGCCGCGUGUGUGAAGAAGGCCUUCGGGUUGUAAAGCACUUUCAGUCGUGAGGAAGGUAGUGUAGUUAAUAGCUGCAUUAUUUGACGUUAGCGACAGAAGAAGCACCGUAGCCUCAACUCGUCGCCAGCAGCCGUCAGGAUAACUGACGGGAGGGUGCGAGCUGUAAAUCGGAAUUACUGGGCGUAAAGCGCAUGCAGGUGGUUUGUUAAGUCAGAUGUGAAAGCCCGGGGCUCAACCUCGGAAUUGCAUUUGAAACUGGCAGACUAGAGUACUGUAGAGGGGGGUAGAAUUUCAGGUGUAGCGGUGAAAUGCGUAGAGAUCUGAAGGAAUACCGGUGGCGAAGGCGGCCCCCUGGACAGAUACUGACACUCAGAUGCGAAAGCGUGGGGAGCAAACAGGAUUAGAUACCCUGGUAGGAUAGCGU
rnacentral:rRNA from 1 species